rnacentral:rRNA from 1 species
UACGAAGGGGGCUAGCGUUGCUCGGAAUCACUGGGCGUAAAGGGUGCGUAGGCGGGUCUUUUAAGUCAGGGGUGAAAUCCUGGAGCUCAACUCCAGAACUGCCUUUGAUACUGAGGAUCUUGAGUUCGGGAGAGGUGAGUGGAACUGCGAGUGUAGAGGUGAAAUUCGUAGAUAUUCGCAAGAACACCAGUGGCGAAGGCGGCUCACUGGCCCCGAUACUGACGCUGAGGCACGAAAAGCGUGGGGGAGCAAACAGGG